CCUACGGGUUGCAGCAGUGGGGAAUAUUGCACAAUGGGCGCAAGCCUGAUGCAGCCAUGCCGCGUGUGUGAAGAAGGCCUUCGGGUUGUAAAGUACUUUCAGCGGGGAGGAAGGGAGUAAAGUUAAUACCUUUGCUCAUUGACGUUACCCGCAGAAGAAGCACCGGCUAACUCCGUGCCAGCAGCCGCGGUAAUACGGAGGGUGCAAGCGUUAAUCGGAAUUACUGGGCGUAAAGCGCACGCAGGCGGUUUGUUAAGUCAGAUGUGAAAUCCCCGGGCUCAACCUGGGAACUGCAUCUGAUACUGGCAGGCUAGAGUCUUGUAGAGGGGGGUAGAAUUCCAGGUGUAGCGGUGAAAUGCGUAGAGAUCUGGAGGGAUACCGGUGGCGAAGGCGGCCCCCUGGACAAAGACUGACGCUCAGGUGCGAAAGCGUGGGGAGCAAACAGGAUUAGAUACCCUAGUAGUC
rnacentral:rRNA from 1 species